rnacentral:rRNA from 1 species
AUUGAACGCUAGCGGGAUGCUUUACACAUGCAAGUCGAAAGAGUGGCGGACGGGUGGGUAAUAUAUCGGAAAGUGCCCAGUAGCGGGGGAUAACUACUCGAAAGAGUGGCUAAUACCACAUACUAUUAGCGUGGCCGAUAUCGGAUUAGCUAGUUGGUGGGGUAAAGGCUCACCAAGGCAACGAUCCUUAGCUGGUGUGAGAGGACGACCAGCCAAACUGGGACUGAGACACGGCCCAGACUCCUACGGGAGGCAGCAGUGGGGAAUUUUGGACAAUGGGCGAAACCCUGAUCCAGCCAUCCCGCGUGUAUGAGAAGGCCUUCGGGUUGUAAAGUCCUUUUGGCAGAGAAGCGGUAUCUGAAGAAUAAGCACCGGCUAACUACGUGCCAGCAGCCGCGGUAAUAC